rnacentral:rRNA from 1 species
GGAAUUUUGGACAAUGGGCGCAAGCCUGAUCCAGCAAUGCCGCGUGAGUGAAGAAGGCCUUCGGGUUGUAAAGCUCUUUUGUCAGGGAAGAAACGGGUCCUUCUAAUACAGGGAUCUAAUGACGGUACCUGAAGAAUAAGCACCGGCUAACUACGUGCCAGCAGCCGCGGUAAUACGUAGGGUGCAAGCGUUAAUCGGAAUUACUGGGCGUAAAGCGUGCGCAGGCGGUUUUGUAAGUCUGUUGUGAAAUCCCCGGGCUCAACCUGGGAAUGGCAAUGGAGACUGCAAGGCUAGAGUUUGGCAGAGGGGGGUAGAAUUCCACGUGUAGCAGUGAAAUGCGUAGAUAUGUGGAGGAACACCGAUGGCGAAGGCAGCCCCCUGGGUCAAAACUGACGCUCAUGCACGAAAGCGUGGGGAGCAAACAGGAUUAGAUACCCUAG